rnacentral:rRNA from 1 species
AAGUAGAUAUUUAUUUGUUUAUUUAUAUUUAUGUAUUUAUAUUUAUUUUUAUAAAAAUAUUUUUUGGUUUAAUUAAUUUUUAAUAAAAAAAUAGUAUUUAAUUAUAGUUUAAUAUUAUUGAGAAAGAAAGGUAGGGUUUAUAUGAAAGAAAGAUUAAAUUUUUGUACCUUGGGUAUCAGGGUUUAUUUAAAAUUUAUUUUAUAGUAAAAUAAUCUCGAAUUUAAUAAGGGCUAUUUAUUUAUGUUGGUAUAUGUAGAAAAAUAUUAUUUAAUAAAUUUAUAGGAAUAAAAAGUUAUUCUAUUUUAAAUAUAUCUAGUUUUUUAAGAAAUUAAUUUAAUUAAGUUUAUAUGUAAUAUAAUUUUUUUUAGAGUAAAUUAUUUUAUUUAUAAAUUAAUAAAAGAGGGGAUAAUCUUUUUUUUAAAUUUAUAUAAUUGAUGGAAUUAUUUUUAAAUUAAUAGAAUUAAUAUUUUUAAAUUUUUUAGUGAGUCAUAUUUAAUUUAUUUUAAAUUAAGAUUUAUAUUGAUUUAUAUUUUUUAUUAAAAAAUAAAUUUUUAUUCCAGAUAUUUAGAUAUAAUGAUAGAAUUAGUAUAAUGAUAUAUAAAUUGUGUAUUAAAUGAAAGGUUAAUUAAAAAGAAUUAGGCAAUAAAAUUUUCACCUGUUUAAUAAAAACAUGUCCUUUUGAUUUUAAUUUAAGGUUUAAUCUGCUCAAUGAUAAUUUUAAAUAGCCGCAGUAUAUUGACUGUGCUAAGGUAGCAUAAUCAAUAGUUUAUUAAUUGUAGGCUUGAAUGAAGGAUUGAAUGAGAAAUUAACUAUUUUAUAUUUAUUUAAUUAAAAUUUUAUUUUUAAGUGAAAAAGCUUAAAUUUUUAUAAAAGACAAGAAGACCCUAUAGAGUUUUAUAGAGUUAUUGGUAGAUGGGAAAUAAGGAUUUAAAUUAUUAGGCCAAUAAUUUUAAUUAAUUGGGGUGAUUGGUAAAUUUAUUUAAUUUUAUUAUAAUUUAAACAUUAGUAUAUGAGCAUAUGAUCCUUUAAGAAGAUUAUUAGAAAAAAUUACCUUAGGGAUAACAGCGUAAUUUUUUUUAGAGUUCUUAUUAAAAAAAAAGUUUGCGACCUCGAUGUUGGAUUAAGAUAAAUAAUUGGUGUAGAAGUUGAUUAAUUAGGUCUGUUCGACCUUUAGAAUCUUACAUGAUCUGAGUUUAAACCGGCGUGAGCCAGGUUGGUUUCUAUCUUUAUAUUAAUAAAUUUAUAUUAGUACGAAAGGACCAUAUAGAUUUUAUAGUAAAUUUUUUUAGAAUAGGAAUUA